GGAAUAUUAGAAAUGGACGAAAGUCUGAUCUAGCAACACCGCGUGUGCGAAGAAGGCCUUCGGGUCGUAAAGCACUUUUUGGAAGGAAUAGGAAGGAAUGUACUUCCAGAAUAAGUCUCGGCUAACUACGUGCCAGCAGCCGCGGUAACACGUAGGAGGCAAACGUUAUCCGGAUUUACUGGGCGUAAAGCGCGUGUAGGUGGUACUGUAAGUAGGGCGUGAAAGCUCCUGGCUCAACUGGGAGAGGCCGUUCUAAACUACAGAACUAGAGGAUGGUAGAGGGAGGUGGAAUUCCAGGUGUAGCGGUGGAAUGCGCAGAUAUCUGGAGGAACACCGGUGGCGAAGGCGGCCUCCUGGACCAUUCCUGACACUCAGACGCGAAAGCUAGGGUAGCAAACGG
rnacentral:rRNA from 1 species